GAACGAGAAAGGGGAGCAAUCCCUGAGUAAAGUGGCGACCGGGUGAGUAACACGUGACUACCUACCCUUGAGUGGGGGAUAACCCCGGGAAACCGGGGCUAAUACCGCAUAACAUCGAGAGAUCAAAGGAGCAAUCCGCUCUUGGAGGGGGUCGCGGCCUAUCAGCUUGUUGGUGGGGUAACGGCCUACCAAGGCGACGACGGGUAGCCGGCCUGAGAGGGCGACCGGCCACACUGGGACUGAGACACGGCCCAGACUCCUACGGGAGGCAGCAGUGGGGAAUAUUGCGCAAUGGGCGAAAGCCUGACGCAGCGACGCCGCGUGGGGGAUGAAGGCCUUCGGGUUGUAAACCCCUUUCAGCAGGGACGAAGCGAGAGUGACGGUACCUGCAAAAGAAGCGCCGGCUAACUACGUG
rnacentral:rRNA from 1 species